ACCUUCUGUGGUGUAGUUGGUAGCACCUUGGACUGGUAAUAAUAAGUCCCAAGUUCAAGUCCCGGUUGGGGUA